ACUUAAAUAAUUUAAAUAAAAUAUUGAUUUGUGGAGUCAAAAACAUGAGUGCGUUUCAUUUUAAGUC
rnacentral:tRNA from 1 species